rnacentral:rRNA from 1 species
GGAUUGACACAUCGGUCGUGCCCUAAGGGGUAUGAACUGGUGUAGUCAGUUUCUCACCUUCUGGAGAACCGCGAUGUCCUUAAUUGGGUGCCGCGAGGAACCAGGACCUUUACUUUGAAAAAAUUAGAGUGUUUAAAGCAGGCAUUUUGCUUGAAUACAUUAGCAUGGAAUAAUAAAAUAGGACGGAUGGUUCUAUUUUGUUGGUUUCUAGGAUCACCGUAAUGAUUAAUAGGGAUAGUUGGG